UUCUCGCGAUAGUUCGACGAAGCACAAGGAAGGAGCCUGAAGGAAAAAAGUGGCAAAUGAAAGAUGAUGGUCGCAGAAUCAAACGAAAAACACUCGAGAAAUGAAAACAAAGACGAAUUCUUAAAACAAUUUAAAUCUUGUUUUUUCUCUACAAGUCGUCUUGCUUUAUUUCCCUGGACUGUUUUAGAACAGGAAUUGGAACUCAGCGAAUCAUCACAAAUAAUCCUGGCUGUCCUCAAACAGACUUGUCUUCACCGGCUGUGCAAGAAGUUUCCCCCGUCAGCGCGAUACAGGAAGUUGUUUCUAACCGAGCUGAUCAGGCGGGUGGAGGCGGCCGACUGCGAGCCUCUGGACGAGCUCUACGACUCUCUGGCGGAGGUGGUGUCGGCCCAGGAAGCAGCGGAAGGAUACAGAACUUUCUUACUGCCGUGUGGUGGCACAGUCAGCUUGUUGGAGAACCGGGCACUGAUCUCAGAAGGGACGACAGGGUUGGUGACCUGGGAAGCUGCCCUUUACCUGGCCGAGUGGGCCUUGGACCACCCGCAGACGUUCACUAGCCGGAAGAUUCUGGAGCUGGGCAGCGGCUUGGGCUUGACCGGUGUGACCGUGUGUCGCUCCUGCAGCCCGUCCAAGUACGUCUUCAGCGACGCUCACCGCAGCGUCCUGCAGAGACUGGAGGACAACGUCCGGCUCAACAGACUCCUGGAGAAUGACGCGACCCCUGAGGUCAGCGUGGAACAGCUGGACUGGACCGACGUGACGGAUGAACGCUUGGACGAGAUCGGCGCCGAUGUGGUCAUCGCUUCAGGGUUGGAUCAUAGUCUCCUGUUCACCUGGUUCCCUUUACGUGGUGUACGAUCCAGACAUCAUAGCGGGUCUGUCCCAGCUGCUGUCCAGAAUACUCAGACCAAAACGCGGGCGUAUCUCCCCUGAGGUCUUCAUCUGCUCCACUGUGAGGAAUCCACAGACGUAUAGCGGCUUCAAGAAGCAGCUUGGCGAUGCAGGAAUCGGCCAUCAUGUGAUGGGUGGUGCUGUCGGUCACGUGUUUCAGUACGACAGAGUCUCCAGCAUAGAGCUGAUCCAGUUGUACGUCUGACAUUAAAGAUGGUUUUAUUUACAAA